rnacentral:rRNA from 1 species
UACGGAAGGCAGCAGCGGGGAAUAUUGCACAAUGGGCGAAAGCCUGAUGCAGCUAUGCCGCGUGUAUGAAGAAGGCCUUAGGGUUGUAAAGUACUUUCAUCGGGGAGGAAAAAACAAAACUAAUAAUUUUAUUUCUUGACGUUACCCGAAAAAGAAGCACCGGCUAACUCCGUGCCAGCAGCCGCGGUAAUACGGAGGGUGCUAGCGUUAAUCAGAAUUACUGGGCGUAAAGAGCACGUAGGUGGUUUUUUAAGUUCAGAUGUGAAAUCCCUGGGCUUAACCUAGGAACUGCAUUUUGAAACUGAAAUACUAGAGUAUCGUAGAGGGAGGUAGAAUUCUAGGUGUAGCGGUGAAAUGCGUAGAUAUCUGGAGGAAUACCUGUGGCGAAAGCGGCCUCCUAAACGAAUACUGACACUGAGGGUGCGAAAGCGGUGGGGAGCAAACAGGGAUUAGAUACC